rnacentral:rRNA from 1 species
UACGUAGGGUGCGAGCGUUAAUCGGAAUUACUGGGCGUAAAGCGUGCGCAGGCGGUUUUGUAAGCCAGAUGUGAAAUCCCCCGGGCUUAACCUGGGAAUGGCAUUUGGGACUGCAAGGCUGGAGUGUGGCAGAGGGGGGUGGAAUUCCACGUGUAGCAGUGAAAUGCGUAGAGAUGUGGAGGAACACCGAUGGCGAAGGCAGCCCCCUGGGUUAACACUGACGCUCAGGCACGAAAGCGUGGGGAGCAAACAGG